rnacentral:rRNA from 1 species
UACAGAGGUGGCAAGCGUUGUUCGGAAUUACUGGGCGUAAAGGGCGCGUAGGCGGCCUUCUAAGUCAGACGUGAAAUCCCCCGGCUUAACCUGGGAACUGCGUCUGAUACUGGGAGGCUUGAGUAUGGGAGAGGGAUGUAGAAUUCCAGGUGUAGCGGUGAAAUGCGUAGAUAUUGGGAGGAACACCGGUGGCGAAGGCGGCUCUCUGGACCGGUUCUGACGCUGAGGCGCGAAAGCGUGGGUAGCAAACAGG